GAUGAUACGCGAGGAACCGUACCAGGGUUUGACAUAUGCCGGAAUGUGCAGGAGACUGCGCAGCCCUUCGGGGCCGGUAUACAGGUGCUGCAUGGCCGUCGUCAGCUCGUGCCGUGAGGUGUUGGGUUAAGUCCCGCAACGAGCGCAACCCCUACCGUCUGUUGCCAGCAUUUAGUUGGGGACUCAGGCGGAACUGCCGGUGACAAACCGGAGGAAGGUGGGGACGACGUCAGGUCAUCAUGGCCCUUAUAUCCUGGGCUACACACGUGCUACAAUGGCCGGUACAGAGCGAAGCAACACCGCGAGGUAGAGCAAAUCGCAGAAAGCCGGUCUCAGUUCGGAUUGGAGUCUGAAACCCGACUCCAUGAAGUUGGAAUCGCUAGUAAUCGCGCAUCAGCAUGGCGCGGUGAUACGUUCCCGGGCCUUGUACACACCGCCCGUCACACCACCCGAGUUGGGGGUACCCGAAGUCGUUUGCCUAACCUGCAAAGGGGGCAGCGCCGAAGUAUGCCUG
rnacentral:rRNA from 1 species